UCAGAUUUUACAUCAUGUACUGUACAGUGUGGUGAGCUGAAUAAGUCAUCUUUAUGAAUUGUCAUUAAUAUUCUUAUCACUCAUUAUAUGCAGGUAACAAUGGUGUUUAUGAGACUUAAUUGAUACCAUUCAGUUUAAUAGUAUUUUGGAAACCUGAAAUCUGAGUUUUAAUAUCAGGUAGUGUACAGUGAGCUCAGAUAAGGCAUCCAUCCUUAUGAGCUGUCAUAAAGCUGAUACCACUUCUUAUUUUACGAGGAACAACUGUGUUAAUGAGUCUUUAUUGCUGCUACACAGGAUAAUAUAUAUAUGAAAAAAAGCAUUCAGAAAUGUUUGAUUCAGGUGGUGUACAGUGUGGACAGUUGAAAAAAAUCACUAUAAGCUUCCAGGAAUGUAGGUAUAACUUAUUUGCAUGAAAAGAUUAGUUCAUAACUGAAUUGCAGCUAGUCAGUAUAUUCCUAUGUUGAAACCAAGAAAUUAGAGAUUUCAUAUCAGGGAGUGUACAGUGGUCAAUUACGUAUGUCCUUUAUAAGGCGUUAUUAAUGUUGGCAUGAUCUUUUUCCUUUGGAGGCAACACCAGUGUUGAUGAACCUACAAUUCUUCCACUCAGGGUAAUACAAUCCUAGAAAAAUAAAUCCAGUGAUUUCACGUCAGGUAAUGUACAAUGUUGUAUGUAGAACAAGACAUUGUGAGCUGACAUUAUGAUUGAUGUGACCUCUUACUCUUACAGGCAACAGCUGUGUUGAUGACCCUUCAUUUCUCCCAGUCAGGUUAACACAAUGUUGGAAGCAUGAAUUCAGAGAUUUUGCAUCAGGUAACAUCAGUGUUGAUGAGCUUUCAUUUCUCCCAGCCAGGUUAACACAGUGUUGGAAGCAUGAAUUCGGAGAUUUCACAUCAGGCAACGUCAGUGUGGAUGAGCCUUCGUUCCUUCUGGUUAUGUUAAUACAAUAUUUGGAACAUGAAUCUGAUAGAUAUAACAUCAGGUUUUACACAGUGUGGUAAGCAAAACAUGUAAAAAAUCCAGCGAUUCUGAGAGCAAGACCUUUCUUUUAAUCUGUUAUUGUUUUUAUGAACUCUCAUUCUAAUGGGCAACAACUGUGUUUAUGAACCUCCAUUUCUCCCAGUCUGGUUAAUACACUGUUGGAAACAAGGAUUCAGAGAUUUCA